AUGAACGCUGGCGGCGUGCCUAAUACAUGCAAGUCGAGCGAACGGACGAGAAGCUUGCUUCUCUAAUGUUAGCGGCGGACGGGUGAGUAACACGUGGAUAACCUACCUAUAAGACUGGGAUAACUUCGGGAAACCGUAGCUAAUACCGGAUAAUAUUUUGAACCGCAUGGUUCAAAAGUGAAAGACGGUCUUGCUGUCACUUAUAGAUGGAUCCGCGCUGCAUUAGCUAGUUGGUAAGGUAACGGCUUACCAAGGCAACGAUGCAUAGCCGACCUGAGAGGGUGAUCGGCCACACUGGAACUGAGACACGGUCCAGACUCCUACGGGAGGCAGCAGUAGGGAAUCUUCCGCAAAGGGCGAAAGCCUGACGGAGCAACGCCGCGUGAGUGAUGAAGGUCUUCGGAUCGUAAAACUCUGUUAUUAGGGAAGAACAUAUGUGUAAGUAACUGUGCACAUCUUGACGGUACCUAAUCAGAAAGCCACGGCUAACUACGUG
rnacentral:rRNA from 1 species